CUCAAUUCUUGAACAGACACGUAUGCCAGAAGCACUUCGAUAGACAUCAGUUCGACAGUAUGGGGUGGUAUGGGAACCCGACGUACGCAUGGUUAUCUCUACUUGUUUACUGAAAAGGAAAAUACUUCACGGAAUUCCUGAGCUCAUUAGCUGAACAUGAUUUCAGUGAUCACAAUUUUAUUAUGCUUUACAACCAACUUCAGAUCAACAGAAUUCAACAUUCAGAAGAUUCAACAGUAUCCACUCAAAGUACAAUAAUAAUAAUUAGUGCCAAUUUGACAACCAAGUGCAGGUAUUUUAUUAAAAGAAUAAAAGAAAUGUUUAUCAAAGAAAACAAGAAGCAAAGGCUAUUUUCAGAAGGAUCCUCAAAGAUGACUUUUGGUAAAUAUAUAAAGUGUAUAGAUUAAGAAGCAAGAAAUAUAAAACUGAAUUUGAU